UAUACCGUGAAACUGCGAAUGGCUCAUUAAAUCAGUUAUCGUUUAUUUGAUAGUACCUUACUACUUGGAUAACCGUGGUAAUUCUAGAGCUAAUACAUGCUAAAAACCCCAACUUCGGGAGGGGUGUAUUUAUUAGAUAAAAAACCAAUGCCCUUCGGGGCUCAUUGGUGAUUCAUAGUAACUUAACGGAUCGCAUGGCCUUGCGCCGGCGACGGUUCAUUCAAAUUUCUGCCCUAUCAACUUUCGAUGGUAAGGUAUUGGCUUACCAUGGUUUCAACGGGUAACGGGGAAUUAGGGUUCGAUUCCGGAGAGGGAGCCUGAGAAACGGCUACCACAUCCAAGGAAGGCAGCAGGCGCGCAAAUUACCCAAUCCCAACUCGGGGAGGUAGUGACAAUAAAUACUGAUACAGGGCUCUUUUGGGUCUUGUAAUCGGAAUGAGUACAAUUUAAACCCCUUAGCGAGGAACAAUUGGAGGGCAAGUCUGGUGCCAGCAGCCGCGGUAAUUCCAGCUCCAAUAGCGUAUAUUAAAGUUGUUGCAGUUAAAAAGCUCGUAGUUGAACCUUGGGCCUGGCUGGCCGGUCCGCCUCACCGCGUGUACUGGUCCGGCCGGGCCUUUCCUUCUGGAGAGCCGCAUGCCCUUCACUGGGUGUGCCGGGGAACCAGGACUUUUACUUUGAAAAAAUUAGAGUGUUCAAAGCAGGCCUUUGCUCGGAUACGUUAGCAUGGAAUAAUAGAAUAGGACGUGCGGUCCUAUUUUGUUGGUUUCUAGGACCGCCGUAAUGAUUAAUAGGGAUAGUCGGGGGCAUCAGUAUUCAAUUGUCAGAGGUGAAAUUCUUGGAUUUAUUGAAGACUAACUACUGCGAAAGCAUUUGCCAAGGAUGUUUUCAUUAAUCAGUGAACGAAAGCUAGGGGAUCGAAGACGAUCAGAUACCGUCGUAGUCUUAGCCGUAAACUAUGCCGACUAGGGAUCGGGCGAUGUUUCUAUCUUGACUCGCUCGGCACCUUACGAGAAAUCAUAAG
rnacentral:rRNA from 1 species